rnacentral:lncRNA from 1 species
UGCAGAUAUUCACCCAAUACUCCACAAAGAAAGGAGAAAAAGUGAGUGCAGCACUUCUGUCUGAUGACAACAGCCAGUGCAGUGACAGUGAGGAAGGGAACAGGAGAAUCAUUUUGUGAGGAAAAAGAGAAAGAAUAGAAAAUGUGUUUGUUCCUGCCUUUUGCUGAAGGUUGCAUUUCAUCCACAGAGUGUUCCCACCAAUCCUGAACUCAGCAUGUGAUGCCAAAGGAGAGGCAGAUCUCAGAGGAUGGCAUGGGAGUGGAACAGCACACCUGGGGCUCUACAGCAGAGUUUUUGCUGCCACAGGGUCUAAGGAGUACAUAAGAACACAAUACAGUGCUUAAGGAUUCUGAACUUGCAGAAAUCACCAUGAUCCAUAUUUCCUACCCACUCCUGUCUAUGGCCAAUGGUAUUGCAGCUCAAAUCCAGCUAAGAAGUCUUAGUGAAAUGAAGAAGUUGGACUUCCUUGUUUUACUAUUAUCUCAUACUGCCCCUUCUUUUCUGGAGAGAGAAAGGAAAAAGAGAAGGGAGAGGAAAAAAACUGAAACUGGAGAAAGGAGAAUUGAGAUGUUUUCAGGACCCGAGAUGAAAUAUUUUGUGCUGAAUUUGAAGCAUUUUAUUCAGUGA